rnacentral:lncRNA from 1 species
GGGAAGGUCUGGCAGGCAGCCUAUUCCCACCGCAGGCCGUGGGUCUUAGCAGGCAGUAGCCACCGGGAGUUUUGGGAUGAAAGCCAUCACCCCUUCACUCUCCAGUGCAGGGAUGGGGAUCAGGGAAAACAUCAGGCCUCAGUGCGUGGUCUGGGCAAGCUGGAGGGGAGCAAGACUCAUCAUCAGCUUGCCAGCUUCUGGCAAGACAGCAGGAUUUUAUAACAUCACUUCAUUAUUUUGGCACCUGAGAAGCGUAAGAGGAUGGAAAACAAGAUCAGCCAUGAGAAAAAGAAGCUGAUUUGAUGCCCCUAAAUCAUGAUUUAUACUCAGAG